AAUCAACGCUGGCGGCGUGCCUAACACAUGCAAGUCGAACGCGAAAACCCCGCAAGGGGUUAGUAGAGUGGCAAACGGGUGAGUAACGCGUGGGUGACCUACCUCAGAGUGGGGAGUAACCUUCCGAAAGGAGGGCGUAAUACCGCAUGACAUACCGUGGUUGGAUACACGGAGUAUCAAAGCCGGGAUCGCAAGACCUGGCGCUUGGAGGAGGGGCCCGCGUCCGAUUAGCUAGUUGGUGAGGUCACGGCUCACCAAGGCGACGAUCGGUAUCCGGCCUGAGAGGGCGGACGGACACACUGGGACUGAGACACGGCCCAGACUCCUACGGGAGGCAGCAGGUGGGGAAUUGUUCGCAAUGGGCGCAAGCCUGACG
rnacentral:rRNA from 1 species